rnacentral:lncRNA from 1 species
UGAUGCCACCUUGCUUGCAAUGAAGAAGCUCCACGUUGGAAUCACGAUAGUUUCCCAUCUCUGUCCUCCACGUGUCCUUGGAGCAUUCCCAUGCUGUGAAGGAGGAGAAAGUUAAAAACAGUGCCACGAGGAAUAUAUUGCCUUUUUCCACCUCCUUGGGACAGGAGAUGCCUCAGUCCAAACCUCCUUGAGUCUCUGACAACAGGGAAGUAGCCUGGCCCCCAAUUCCCAAUUACAUCCCAGCUAAUUUGAAAUGAAGCCUAACAAGAUAAGCCAAGUCUGGAGAGAAGGAGACAGCUGACAGAAGUAGGUUACUCCAUUUUUUAAAGUGCUGUUGAGAUGUGCAGCAUGAUGGGAUUUGGAAACUGGGUCCUUUGUAUUUACCUGAGCAAGUCUUAUGAACGCAUGCAUGCAAGGAGACCGCUGUCAGAGAGGUGACAGUGACAAAGUAUCAGUAAGUGAAUAUGGGAAAGGAGGGCUCAGAGAGAUCAAGUGUAAGAGUUUUUGCAUUGCUCUAGAUAGAGAGAUGGGAAAAUGAGAAAUUUGAUCUUUCUAUUAUAAUCGACAUAAAGAAUUACAGGGCAGCAAAAGGCCACACAGCUAAACAAAGCUGUUCCCUUUAUUUCAGAUGUCUCUGUUUCAGCACUGUGUCCUUCAAGACUUUCUCUGUAAUUGCAUCUGGCAGCUUCUUUGCAGCAAGGUGCUGAUUGCUGCUCUCCAGCCACACCAAAACAGAAAUAAAAAAUAACAGGCAAGAAAGGGCAUUGCAACAAGUACUUACAGUGGCGUUCCUCCUUUGUUUCCCUGAUGGGUCACUGGAAAGGUUUAGAAAAUGCCGUUUUGUACCUGAGCACUGCUCUGGUUGGCCUUGUGACCGAUCGCUGGCCGAUGCAGGGCAGCACAGUUCAAGAAAUACAUGGCAUUCAGUGCCCUGCCUUACGUGGGCUGCUUGCAUAGCAAAAUGGAUGUGUUCCCCAGCUGGUUGUGUCCAGAGGCUUCAUUUGAAGGCUAUUGGCAGCAGCAUGGUAUUAAUCUCUUACAGCUGCAGUAUCGCAGGCUGUGAAUGCAGACAGCCUGCAGCUUUGGAAGGAUUCGUGCUGCCUUUCAAAUAGGAGAGCAGCAGCUCUACCAUCAGACAUCAAAGGGCUCAUCCUACUUCUGCCACCAAGCAAAGUGUGAGACAGGGUUUGCAUAGCAAACACAAACCUGGGUUCUGCCCUUUUGCACCUCUCUGCCACAUACAGACAAGCUCAAACUUUUUAUGAUGGUGUGAAUCCUUGUUGUUUUUUUUUUAUCAGUAGAAACUAUCAACCCUAAAAUCCUCUGCUCCCAUGUAGAUCCCUAAGACGUGCCUGACUACUCUGCAGGGCUGGUUGGUGUUGGAGAGACUUGGGUGAGCUUGAGCCAGCAACUUGCCCUUCCUUUCCCUGGGCCACUGUACCCUGGCCAUCCCCUGAAGUUUACUGAUUAGCACUGCUCAGCCUAAAUCCCAAGUUCCUGAAGAACUGAAAGCUUUUAGUGCCAGCAGCCUUUUCUACUGCUUUCCCAAGUGCUUUUCCCAUAUUGCACAGCAGGACUGCCACUUCAAAUGUGGAGAUGUUAAUCCCCUUCGAGUUGUGCUCUGAAGAAGCAUGUGCAAAACACGGGGAAAAUGAAGCAUAAAUUAUUUUGCAUUUAGCUUUCCAUAACUAUUGUCUUGUAGCCCUGGUGAAUGAUGAUCUUGCAGGUCCUUUCCAACCUUGUGAUUCUAUGAUUCUACGUUUGGCAUAACUCACCUCCACAGCUUGUCCACUGAGCAGCUGGUAAUCACUCUUUAGAUUUGCUUCAGAGAACACUCAGAAAGUGAAUUUUCUCAGACAUGCAGAAUGUUUUUUGUGAGAAUGAAUCCUUUUUUUUUCCAUUAUUUGCCCGGCAGAACAGUGCUGCUUUCACACCAAUGUCCAGAAUGCUCAUCAAGACAAAACUUUUUAGGACAACACCAGGCUAGCAUCAGUUCUCCAUGUGAACAACUCAGCCUUAAAGCUUCAAUCCUAUUGACUUCCUUAACAUUACCCAUCUAUUGAUUUUUCUGCUAUUCUCUGGAUUAUACCCAUUUUAGAAAUAGCUGCUUGUAAGCCUAAAGAAUUCUUGCUGUCAUGCUCCAUCUGCUGAAGGCAGCCCGUUCUUGCAUGACAGCUGCAUUGGCUUUUCUAGCUGGGAAAUUCCCAGAUCCAUCCUCAUGAGGCUGCCCUUUGAAAAUGGCUUACUUUCAGGAGACACGAAGGGGUCUGCCAAAGCUGUGCCUCCUUCUAAAGAUUGAUUUCCAGGUUUCAUCAUUAAGCUUGAGCUCCCUCACAUCACAGCACGAGUUCUGUCCCAGUCGUUUCCGGAUCUUGCAAAGAUCUGAAAAUGCAGCGACAGUGGCAGAAGCACAGCCCGACUUUUAUGUGUGGUCCCUUUUGUUCUGCUGUCUGUUUCUGGUGUAACAGAACCCACCCACUGUGUUUGAGCCUCUUCUAAGAUGAGUACUAAAAGCAGCUAAUUCAGAAGGUGCCUGUGUCACUCCCAGCCUUCAGGACCAGCUGUGAAGUAUCUCGACAGUGGUCCCAGGCCCCUCGCUCAGUCCUCGUGGUUCAUUAUUCACAAUACGACAUUAAUUUGGCAACUCAAGAGUAGGUACUCCUUCAGAGCAGGUUUGCAGGAACACGGUUUCCUUUCCUGGCUGGGCUGUCCUGUUUCUGCUCUAACCCACACCUGUGGGUGCCUCCUGUUCCAGUGAGGCUGAGCUGAAUCCAAACUGGAAAGGUGCUUGCCAACUUUUUCUGCCUGAUAUUUCUAUAGGGUGAGUGAUGGAUACUGGAGAACGAUGCCUUCUGAAUGCACAUUUUCUGCAUGACAAAAUGUAUUCCUGUGUCCCUGGGCAGCAAGGAGCUCUGAAAAGUGACCUAGGGCCCAUAGUACCCCACAUUAUCCAAACAGGCAACACAGAAGCCAACUGGUCAGUGCCUUGGAAUGCCAACAAUCCUCUUCUGGUCUGUAAGUCUUCCCCUGACUUUCCUUCUCACCAUUAGUCCCAGUGAUGGACCUUUCCUGCUUUGUCGCAGCUAGUGAAGACAAUUAACCAUCUUUCAGUAGCUUCCCAGCUUUUCUCUUCCUACCUGAGGUAGCACCAUGGAGCGAUUUAUGUCACAUUGUCUUUUUUUACCUAUUUGUUCAUAUUCCCCAGCCCAUUUACCAAAGUAGGACCUGCUUCCAUGGGUUUAGUGCUCGCCACUGAUAAAGCUCAUCAAGAGAUUUAUAAAAAUAGCCCAUUAAGAUCAUUGUCUGUCAAAUGUCAAUAAGCAGAGUAAAGAGCUCAGCACUGCAGUUAUGGAGAUCCAGCAAUUAAAGUAUUUGAUGAAAGUAUUUUAUUGGAGUAUAUAUUACCAUUUUGUCCAAUUAUUCUGCCAUUAAACAUUAAGAAUAAUUGAACCAAAUGGUGCCCAAUAGAAGGAAUACAUCUGCUCUGAUGAAUUCCUGCCAAAAGGCACUGGGAAUCUUAGCACAAGCAUUUUGUCAACCAAGAUAACAGUAUUUUUCUCUCCAGCUGAUAAAGCAGGGCUUUUGAAUCUUAUUUAUGAUGUAUAAAUUGGCUAAUUUGUUACCAAUAUCAAACAGCCCAUAAGAAUCAGGCAGUGUAAUAGCUAACAAAACACCGACAGCUUCAUCACUUGCUGACUGCAUGGAGUACAAUAUACACUCAAUUAAUAUAGAGUGCAAUUAUCACAGAAAUGGUGAGCAAGAACUAAUUAUACAGAAGCCUAUCAAAAACAGCCCAAAGCGUGGCGGGAUGUAUUUCAAGAAACUUCAGGGGUUUUUUUGUUUUUGUUUUUGUUUUUUUUUUACUUCUCCUUUUUUAAAUUUCUUUUUUGCUUUUCUUCCCUUUUUUCUUCUUCUUUUCGUUUUCCUUUUUGUCAGUGUUUCCCUUACCUUGAUGAGAGAGAAGGGAUGUGGCCUCAACUGGAGGACCAAGUCAGCUGAGAGCCUAGCAGUAAUGCUAAGGGGGAGCUCUGACACCAGUUCUAAUUUUUGUACGUAAGAGAAAAUCACCAUGUUUUUCUAUUUAAACACUUUGUGGUUGUGAUGAAUCUAAGGAUUCCCAAAACACAGCUAAAGCAAUCUUUACCCUAGGGUAUAAAAGAGACUCACGGACAGUGAAGAUGAGAACACUUUCAAAGGAAAUAUUGAAGAGAAAUUAAUUUCUUGGUAUGCCUCUUUUUUUCUAAAUGUUGCAGUUGAGGAAGCAUCUUUAAACCCCUUGGAAGGGCAGCUUUUAAUCUUGAGAUAAAUGCAGCAUUGGUUUCUUAACUAUUUGGUGAUCACUUGGAUUCUCAGUAGUUUCUAAGUUAAGAGGUACUUCUGGUUUCUUUACUGUAGUUGCAACACAUCAACCAAAAAUCCUACCUGAAAAAUACAGAUUUGGGCUGUUUUCCUUGGCCUUGCCUUCCUGUAGCUCUCAAAUCUUGGGUCAAACUUUGAAAGAACUGUAAAUCUGCAGGAAAAAGAAAAGGAAAGAAAAGAAAAAUAGCAGUAAAUGCAAGGCAGACAAACACCUAAGAGAUUUCCAGUGUUUCAGAUACUGUGAAUAUUUUCAACAACUGAAAAAUAAUUAAACAUUCCAGACUCUGGAAUUGUUUAAAUUUGAAGAUUUUAAUUACAAAUGCUUACAUCUUUUGCAUAUCACUACAGUUAAUGUCCAAAAAAAUUAAUCCUAAAGCACCUUAAACCCAUAUUCUGGCAGACAAAGGAUUCUUCUGCUCCAGGAGCCUUGCCUAGAAUUAGGCAGCAAAGUGUUUUACUCACAGAUGAUUGGAAAAUGGAUUUUUUUUUUUUUUCCUUUCAGAAAAAUAAUGUUAAUUUGAAAUACUGUAACUGAAGAUUUGUUUUUGCACUUGGAGACAAAUGGCCAUUUGGAAUGGAUGUUUUUCACUGGAAGUGAGGAAAUGAUUGUUCAUACUGAAACAAAAGUAAUGUUUUGCUGGUGUUUGAUUGAUUCACAUGACAAAACCAUAGCAGAAUCAACAUCUGUUUUUUCCUGGUUGUUUUCUGGUUCUGAUGAGAAAACUUUGGAUGCACAAAUUGCACUCUACCUGUGAUGUUACGUUAUGGAAGCUGUUCUUUGUGCUUUAUUGGAGAAGAUGAAGGUACCAAGGGAGGGUAUUGGAGGGAGGGAAGUCCAAAGUCCCAGCUUUUCUUUGUUUUUAUUUUUAUACUGAAGAUACUUCCUGAGAUUCCAGGGCUUGCUACAAAACCAGAACCUGCAUUUUUACAUCCAUGCGUUCUCUACUUAGUGCAAAACAAGGUUGUUUACUCACAGAUAUGAUCAAUGGCUCCUGCAGGCCUCAGUUCAGCAAAGACAUCCCACUGCAGGAAACCACUUAAAUGUGUGCUUUGUUAUAAGCAAAGAUGAAAGACAGAGGUUGUGUUCCCUGACAGCUGAUGCAUGGAUGCUGAUGUCUUUGUUAGUUCACUUUAUCCUCUGAAAAGUUCUUUAGACUUUCACAUACUUCCAGCUGUCUUGCUACCAAGGCCUGCAGAGGGGUUUAUUGUUUGUAUCCUUUCAGAAGAGUGCCUCAUCCCUCUGUAUGCUGUCGCCCAACAUUGCUGCUGUAAACUUGACCCCUGGAACUAUUUCUGCAGCAGAAUCCAAACACAUAGAUUAAUACUUGAUGACCCCAUCUGAUGGAUAGUCCCCAUCAUGACAUAGGGUCCUCUGUUGUGCUGCACUUUGCAUGGGGCUCAGUGAAAAAUCCGGUACAGGUCUUGAUACUAUCGAGAUUUGGAAAAUAGAAUUAGUGCUGCCCUGUAGGUGGGAAUUAGCAGCUGUCAGCACUGAAUGGCUUAGCCUGCAUGCUUGUGUCAAAGGGAGAAGAGCACCAGCUGGAAUGAAACCAGAGCUAAACCCUCUGCAGAGGCACUGAAGGUGCUCAGCACCUUGCAGAACCAAGCUCUGCAGUAUUACUUGGUGUCAUCAGCAGUGGAUACACAACUAUGGACAUGAGCAGUGUUGCUUAGUAGGAAAACCACUGAAAUGCAGUGCAUAGGACCUACCCAUGAUGCCCAGAUAGCAUCAUGGGGCACUGAGGGAAAGAAAUUCAGUUUUUGAUCUGCCAAAGGACAUUUUCCUUUGUUAAAUCUUGGGCUGAAGAGUGAUACUCCUAUUUACUGCUUUAUAAAAUUCACCAUGGUUAGCUUAUUCAAUGCCAUUUGUCCAUGACUUAAAAAUUACUCUGAGUGAUUGUUUUUAUUUUCUCCAAACCUUUGGAGUCACAAAGCCUUUUCAGUUUUUCUGACAGCUAUUUAAAUCCUGCUUUUUUCAGUCUCUGGUAUAGACUUCCAAAGCAGGAGAAAUGCUGGCAUGCUAGGUUAAAUAGUCAUUUGAUUCUCAAUACCUUUGCACUUGCAAGUUCUCCAAGAACAACCAAUAGCAAUCCUCAAAACUCCAACGUGAGUUUUCCGUGGUCCAUUUAUGAUUAAUCACAUUGGUGGUCUUCUCUGUGUCUGAUACUCAUAACACAGCCUACCCACAGUAUUUAUGAGAAGCACUCUCAGAGCAGCAGGGAAUUUAAUGUGUACUGAUGCUCCAGAAUAUUUAGCCUUGUGCUUUACCACUGCUGAAAGAAAUGCAACUGCUGCUACGCUUGGCAUGGAAUGUGAGGCUUAUAGAUGUGGAACAACCAGGAAACCACAGUUAAACUUUCAGCAAUAUGAAUUAGAGCUUUUCAUAAACAUCUCUGAGUUCACCUGGUGCCUGAGUGCUGCUGUCUGCAUUGCAAUCAGCACACACAGGUCCACAGGGCUGGCUCAAGGCUCCUCUGCAGACAAAAUCAGAAGGACUUUCUGGUUCCCAUCUUAAAAAUAACAUUUCACUGGCAUGUUUAUUGGGUACUGAUCCUGCCAGUUGGGAAGAGCCAGCAGGGGCAUUUCUCUCCUGAACAUCCAGUUCAUUUAUCUACCCACACGUGAGCGCUGCCUUCACAGCCCACAAGCCUCUGCAUCUUCGCUAUGAGCAGGUGUUAAUGCUUUGCUGGGUCAGAGCUAAUGUAAACCUGUAAGCGCUUUCAAUCAAAAACGGAAUAUAAUCAUUUAGUCCAGACGCUCAUUAGCACUGCCACCAUUUGUCAAGAACAUCUUGCAGUUCUUUCUGUUUCGCGAUGCGCUCUGUGCAUAUUUGAUGUUCAUGUUUCCAUGUAUCUGUCAUUUGUUCUGUGGACAAACCUCUCCCUGGGUUCAGGGCCUUGGCGGGGGGCAGCCAAUUCUUUUCACUGUCUUCUCCUAAUGGGAUAUGAAGAUGUAUGCUUGAUCUAUUCAAGUACUAAUCAAGGCUUGAAUGACUCCCAGUAUCACUCCUGUUCAUUUUGAAUUGGAAAUAUAUCAACAGCAGAGCAAAACGGUGUUUCUCAGCAAUGUGUCAUAAUGAUUGGUUAUACCGGUGUCACAAUUCUGCAAGAAAUACAGUAAGUACUGAACAGUAAGUUCAGUUCUAUUGUCAGGAGCUCUGCCUCACGAGGAGGCAUUUGUAACUAAAAAUGUUGUUCAUUUGCAGAAUCUAUAAGAAGAAUGAAGCCCUGACAGGAAAUAUGCUGAAAAGCUACCGUAAUAAAUUUGACAUAAGAUGCAUGACGUGGAUGGAUAGAACAUUGUUCGCAAGGCCUGGCAAAUGAAACUGGGGCUUACAGGGAGGCAGAGACAUUGUUCUACAAGGCAUGCUUCAGGUAGGAACCAAAUUUGAAGCGGCCAUAUAUUUCAGUUUUGCUUAAACUGAAUAAUAAAGAAGGCUUGCUCAGAAAUCUUAUUGCACCUUGGAAAACACAUUGAUUUUUUUUUGUUCUUGUGAACUUCUAAGAAAGUUUCUUGCUCAUAAAUAGAAGCACCUGCAUAUUUUUUAUUCCUUUUUAAUGUUAUUAAAGGAUAUUUUAAAAGCAUAUAGAAGAAAUUUGACAAAGAAGGCAGAGAAACAGAUGCACAGUAUUAUACGAAGUCAAGUUUUAUGACUAGCAUUUUAUAUUUCACUAGGGAAUCUCACUCCUGUUCUUUAGUGCUCUCACAGAUUCCCUGUACAUCUUUGGCAAAUUAUUCAUUCUCUUUGGCCCCUGCUUUCAGAAGUGGUUUCCAGGUCUGAUGCCUGGAUUUCAAGCUGGGUAGCUACUUUAGGAACUUACGUGAAGGAUAUAAGUGGUACACCAGAAUUCCACUCUGGAGUUUUGUACCCCAGUGUUUAUCUGUCUGCAUCUUUCAAAUUGGGAUUAUAUCUUACUGUGUUCCUGCCUAAAGGGAAUGUGAUGUAUUUAGAAGUACAAAGGCUCUCACUAGAAUAAUGUACCAAUGGGUGAAAGGCAUGGAUUUGAAUAAGUGAUAAUUGUAGAUUCUACAAACAGAGUAGAAAAAGGUAGAAGAUAGCGAUUUUCUGUUGUGGAGAUUUUAGCAGAUAUCUCUGGGCAUGCAGUAUUGCCUCUUGUAUGCUUGGGACGUGAUUCUGAAGCAUGUUGUGGUAUGUUACAUUCUGACUGUCCAUUAUUUAUCAUGUGACAUUACAAGCUGUUGAUAAAUCAGAUGUAAUUCAAAGGGUGCAAACUGAAGGCAAGUAUCUCCAUUUAGCGCCUUUGUACUGUGUCUUUUUGAUGUAAAAAAAGACAAGCAUUUGCCCUCUGGGAGCAGGCAGUUUGGUGGGCACUCUGUGAAGGUUGGUUGCAAGCCUGUUUCAAGUUUCUUCCAGUAAUCAUGCAGGAACCAAGUUCUAGCUUCCCUGGAGGCUCUGGUCUGCCAGGUGGCCAGGAAAAAAAAAAAUACUAGGCUUGCAAUGAGAUUUGGAGGGUGGUUUUUAAAAGUGUCUGAGUGAAACAGGCUGUUUAUUGAGAACAACUGCCUCCUAUGUGGGUGAAGGCUUUCAGCAGACAGCUCUGUCUGAUCUGGGGCAGCCGAAGGACAGAAAACAUUUCCUAAAAUUAGGAUAGACUACUUUGGCUACCAUGUUAGGAGAUGUAAAACAUAGGCAGCCUUAAGUGGAAGCCAGUCUCAUUAAACAGCAAAGUAAUUUGCUGACAACCAUCUGCAACCAGAAAUAUUCAGGGAGAGGUAAGUCUGGCAUCUGAAAGAAGGAAGCCACAGGCAGAAAUGCUCCAUGAGAAAGGAAAGGUACAAACAUAUCCUCUGCCCUCUCGGUGCUCAAUGCAUGUGUUGAUAGGGGCUGUGCAGCACUGCCUGGUCAGGCUGAGCGUCAUCAAUAUUCUCAACUCACACCUCUGUGCUGCCUUGACACCAAGGAAAAUGAAUCAGUAAAAGAGAAGCUUGUUUUUCCUGUUUAUUUCUACAUUUGGGAGUGCAGUGUGAAAAGCAGAUUUUUACCUUGGAGGGAAAUUUUGUGGAAAUAUCCAGACAACAGGAUUCUGUGUGAUUUCCUCUCUAUAUUAGAGCUAUUCAUUUACCUGAGUCUAAGCAGCCAGGGAACACCUCAGCCACCCCUCGCCUUUGUUUCUAGAAGUAAUCUCAUUUAUUCUGCCAUUUAUUCUGGGUUUUUCUGCUGAAAUUGCCACAGAAGAGCCUGCAGAAUGUGUUAGGCAUUGGCAUCUCCUACCAAGCAUAAGGUUAUGUCAGUUCCAGGCAUGAAUACGCCAGGAGGGACUGUGCAGAGGAAAGGACUUUGAAGGAAAAAAUCCAGUAGCAUGCAACUAGGGCAGUGAAAUAAGAACUUGUGUUUUUGGUGGACACACACAUCCCCCGGGUUUCUCUCCCUGCUGUAGAGCCCUUCAUGCUGCUGUGGGUAGCUCACGUCUGUCUUAGGACCUCUGAUGGCCUCUGUCCACGGAGGGCGCUGGUCCAAGAUGGCGGCCACCUCUGUGGUGAUUGCUGAGUCUGCCACUGCUGCUGGGGCUGCAAACUGACACAAGGGAAGCAUGGACCCCUCAGGCAUUACACCCACAGCCGAACAAUGCUGUGAAAUCAGAGGAAGCCCAACUUCCACCUCAGAGUUGUGCCCCUGGCACCUUUCCUCAGCUUUGCGCUGGACCUCAGGUAAGGCGGUGGGAAAUGGAGCCUUUCGUGUCAGUGUCUGCAUUCGUGUGACUGAGAGAAGAACAGGCUUCCAGCUGGCUGCCCAGCAUGCAAGUGCUGUGUUUCCGUGUUAUUAAUGUUCUGCCCUACUUCCAGUUUAAUUAUAUGCAGUUCAUGGCUCAGUCCAGGCCUCCUGUGAUCACAGCAAAUCACACUUUUGAGAGGGGAUGCAUACAGGAACUGGGCUCUGCAGAGAGGGAAGGAUGGAACAGAGCCACGCAGGUGUGUACUGCUGGAAGCCUUAUAUCCUACUAUUUGAGGAAAAAGGAGCUGUGCUGGCCUUCAGCACCUCUUUCUUUGUGCAGUUGUGCCCAAACAUCUGCCAGGGAGAAGGAGAAGGCUGAAGGGAAUGGUGGCCAUAUUCCUUUGGAAGGCAUUUCUGGGAGCAUUUCUGGUUACAAACCACAUUUUUUGGCUUUACCAAGGGGACUAUGUCAUGAACAUUGAAGUCUUGGAAUAUAUUAGGGUGGGUACCCUUAUGCUCAUAUACGACUACCAUCUGACCUACUGGUGCAGCUGACAGGGUCAGCAGCAUUUCCUCAUGAGCACUGCCUGCCUCCUGAAUGCCCACAGGAACUGGGGAGAGAGAAAGGUUUUUUGCACUCUCACCAAUAAGCUGUCUGCGAGUGAAUGAAGGUCACCUUGCAACAACUCAGAGCAAUUAUCUGAAGGAGGUUAGAUCUCUGUCCUCUUUUUUUAUAUUAUUCUCAUAAGCUGCAUUUUUGGCAUCACUUAGAAGCCAGGAACGUAUCAAACCCGCAUACGUCAAAUGCUAUUGACAUCAAAUACCUUUCAUCGAGCCCCAAGCCUCUUGGUGUCUUUUGAGCUCUGCACCCAGGAAAGUGGCUUGUCAGAGAUGAUUUUUCCAACCGAGGAAGCAUGUAGCAUAAUGAGACAGUGUAGCUUCAGCAUACACCUUCCAACUAGUUUCCCAACUGCUGGGAAACCAAACAUGAGCCUGCAUAGUAAUUAGGCCAUAAAGAAAGCUGAGGAUACAAUGAAUGUAUAGUCUGUAUUAGCAAGCCCUUUAUGGCCCCUCAUUGCCAUUCUCCAAACACAUUUCCAUCUGCAUUUCUUGUUUUCACCCAUCAAGAUAUUCCAGAAUAAUAGAAAACAAACAAAAAACAAAAUAAUAAUAAUAAAAAAAUUGAAUCAUGUCAAGUGGCAUAGGUAUGGGUGUUCCAGGAAACACACCACCCAGAUGUGCCAGGUGCUGCACAGAUGUGCUCAGCACUCAAGAAAGCUGUCAAGCUGCCUCCAGACCUGCUGAUUCUGAAUUUCACAGCGAUCAGAAUGUGUUUUGAUCCACCAAGGAUGUCACCCUUCACAGGCUGGCAUGCGUACACUCCACAUACAGAGGAACACCCGUCAGUUUUGGCAUAAUCUGUAUUGACUCUCAAAUAACCCCCUUUAAUUUUUAUUUCCUCUCUAGAGCAGCAGAGCAUGAGCACUGACCUGGUAAGCUACCAUCUGCAAAGGACCAUGUCAGGAGGCUCCAUAGGUGAUGGAAACUGCUGUACUGAGCAGACUCCUUGAGUGUUACCUGAGUGGGUGAGAUACUACAUCAAAGUCUCACAGAGGACAGUCCAAAGAAUGCUAGUUUUAACACUCUGCAGAGGCUGAUCUUCCAUUGUGGUGGUAGCAUGCAGAAAUAUUUCUUCCCUUCAAUUUACUGCCUAGAAGGCCAAAUAAACAGGACCGCAUGGAUAUAAAGAGGUCGUGAGCUUUAAUCAAAUGCAAACAACAGGACAGUAGCAGAAUUCUAAGAAAAUCCCUUUCUUCUACUCCAUUACCUGUUGGAUUAGCUGUCAGCUCAUGUCUGUACUGCCAAACCCAGCCUUAAUUUCUCUGUUAUUUCACCCAAACAGCAAUGUAGAAAGCUCUCUUGAUAUGACAGCUGCAGGAAAACUCUGUCAUGCUCACCCCACUUUUCUAUUUACUUAUCAGAGAAAAUUCCCUCCUAACUGGUUUUCCUUUUGUUCCUAUCUGCUUUUCUUUUGUGGAAGAGCUGGUUUUCCUGCAGAAAGUCUACAACUUUUACAGCAGUUCUGAUACCAGGUCUUUGGGUUAGAGGUCUUUUAUUCUUCAAGUUCAUUUCUCCUAAAGAUUACAGACAGCUCUCAGUAUUGAAACUUAAGGUGUGGAAGUUCCUAGUGCAGAGACUGUGAAGAGAAAGGGAAGUUUGUAAUAAAAUAAGGGAACUGGCAUGAUGUGAUACUGCAGGGAUUACAGACAGUGGCAGCAUGCUUCCUUCAUGGAACAGGAUGCUAGAAAUGAAAAGAUUCAAAACUUUUACUUUUUGUAUUACUGCUUGUUUGUUUUGCUGGAGGGAACUUAGUUAAGCUGGUGGGAAUUGUUCUGUGUAACAACCGGCAGCCCUACUCUUGCUGCUGUCUCCUCCAAGAGAAGAAUAGUCAUUACUUUUGUGAUCUUCACCAAGAAUAUACUAUACUCCAUCUGCUAGUUCUGCAGCUGUGGUUAACUAAUAAACAGUAUUCCCAGUCCUGUGCUAACUGCAUUUGUUGUGGCUAGUAGGCAAACAAAGAUAUCUUGACAGAAUACGGUGUUACACAGGCUGUUAAAAAGCAGCCCUAUCAAGUUUAGAUCCAACAGAACCAAAGGGGAAAGUUUUGCCUUUGCCAUAUGGAAAAACAAACAAGCCAAAAACACUUUACUCACAAUUUUCGGAAACUGUAAAGCAGGUAGUGUGCAGUAAUGAUAAGAAUGUGCCGGAGGCCAUGAAGGAUUGAUAUCUACUUCAGAAAUACUCAGAAGCAAUGGCUUUCUUUCCCCUCCCCAUGUCCAGUGACAAGAGGAAAUUCCCUCCUGAAAUGCUUCAGCAAAUUUCUCAGCCUUCUCCAGAGCCUUAAUCUUGGAUCUCUCUCUGCUCAAGAUGGAAAGAGGGCUAUCUGUGAUCCAAACAGAACAGGGCUGCCUCUGCCCUGCCAGCCUUAUGUUCACAGCCUCAGCGGAGCUCCCAGCAUGCUGAAACUGGUGUCCAAGAGCCUUGCUGAGAGGACACACUGAAAACAAGACUUCAAAGGGUAAGUCUUUGGCUAUGGUGCUUUUACCACUGUCAAGAUUUCUAAGCAAGUGAUUCAUUUUCGGAGUUUUUUCUCCCACAGGCUUCAACAGGAAUUGCAGGUAAGAGCUGCUACCAAAAACCAGAAUUUCCUUUCCAUUUCCCCAUCUGUGGGUUCUGUUGUUUCAUUUGCAGAGUUUAAAACAAUUUGGCCUGGGUGUCUUUGUUCAGGACUACACCAGACCUGCAGGUGGAAGGUUCCUCUUGUUGCAUGGGGAUUGAAAUGGUCAUCCUUAGAAGUUAAUUACUCUACACUGUGGUCACAGGGAAGUGCCUGAAGCAUCACUGGGAUUUCUCUCCCAGUCACUGACAAAUACCAUUACAUCAGAGCAGCUGUGACUCAUGCUGACAGCCAAAGUAUUGGUCCAAAACCAGCACAAAGCUUUGAUAUGUGCCUUUGAUAUUGCCUUUGCAAAUGAAGGAAAAAAUGCUUCUCCUAGAAAACUGUUCAGUAGAAAUAAUGGUGAGUUAUUCUGUAGUCUUGGCAAUACGGAAACAUGGAGACCUAAGUCUGUUGUCGCUUGCAUUUCAGAUACUUGUGAUUUUAGUAUUUCUUUUUGGGAAGAACAAUCAUUACCAUCAGUAAAAGCAAUGUAGUUACACUGGAGACUUUAAGAAAGAUCUCUCAGUGCCUGAGAUCUGAGAUCUAAAGGAAAACAAGGUGCCGUGAGUGUGCCAGGUUCGUGAGGACAAGCCUGCAGCCAGGUUCCUGCACUCACUGCCACCAGAGGCAAUGAGGGUGCCCACUCCUCUCCCCAUCCCUGCUCCAGUUCUCUGGGGCAUGACUAAAAUACUCAGCUGCUUUCCCUCCUGAAUGCUUCAUUAAUCCCCUGGCCCUCAGCUGCUUACACCUGAUUUUCCUUGCCUCUCUGAAUAGCUUCAUUCAGCUCAGUGAGCCAGGACAUGUUCAGGAUCCAGACCUUGGCUUUUGGGCUCUCCUGGGGGCAGCGUGCACAAAGAGCCCCCACUGAGCAGCACCCUGACUUAAAAGAUACAGAUGACAUCUAAAUCCUGAAGUUAGGAGGCAGCUGUGGAGAGCUGUGCCUAUAGAAAAUAUACACAAGCUUAAGACAUGUAUGUGUACACAGAGCAUGUCCACAGGUGCAGCUGGGUCUGGCCUCGGUUAGUUUCUAAAUCACAAAUGAACUUCAGGAGGGCACAUCAUCUUAGUGAUAUAAAUCCCACCAAUUUACACCAGCUGAGCACACAGCCCUGGGCCUUUCCUGGGUUGCAAAGUGGAAAGGCUGUGAGAGUUCCCUUAUGAGUUUCUCAUUUGAUCUCUCUUCUCCAAAACACUAAAUGCUACCGUAGAGUAGAGGCGACAUUUCUGGCCCAUAUGUACCAGCCCAGCCCCUCUACAGCUAUGGGCUGUGCCACACCAUGUUACACCACAGCCUUCUGUUUGAAAACAGCACAGUGAGACAGCUAGUGGAGAGGAUUGCACAACCAAGCUGUGUUCUGUGUAGCCAAUAGCUUGCUAAUAAUUCUCUAAAAUUGUGCUCCAGCAUUAAUUGAAAUCAUAAAUCCCAAUCACAUUCAAAACAUAACUACUGUACACCACUGGCUCACUUUAGCUCUUAAUCAUAGUUUUCUGGGGAGUUUUCUUGCUGCUUCUUCUUUCCCUCAGGAGCAGCCAUAUUUAUUACUGUAGUUCAAAUACCUGGAGAUAUUUCAGUUGAAAAGUCAUAUAACAUCUCUCUAAGCAUGUCAAUAUGUGUUCAGCUUAGUAUGAAUGUCUGUGCCAUUCCCACCGGAGAAAAGUAAAAACUGUCAAGGAAACAUAUUUAACUUGUUUCUGCACAGAUGCCUGCAGAAAUCUUGCAUCUAAAGAAUAUUUAAAUUGUGUUUUGUUAAGAUAGGAUACUUAGAUGAUACAGUGGAGCAGCCAGGAGGUUAUAGUCUCUGCUAGACGAUUUGCCAGACAAGAAAGAUGGCUUGGUAGCAAUGCUGACAGCUUUAUUCUCGUGGCUUUGGCAGGAAGAAUAGGCAAAAAGAUUGCAGAGGCGGUAGGCUAGAAUGCAGCGUGAAAGUUCAGAAAAAUAUUAACCAGUUGUAAAAUGAGUGGGUGGAUGCACUAAAGGAGGUGGCAUUUCAGUUAUAUAACCACACUUAUUGCAACAUUUUUAUGGCUAAAUUAUGCUCUUUUUCUGCGCUGUAUUUUUGCAUCUGCUGCCCAGCCCCAGUGGUGAGGGACAAAAUGUUUAUUUGGCAGGAGAAAAGGGCAGCAGCCAUUCAUCAUUUUCAGCCAUUGGUCCCACCGAAGAUUCCCCUGAGAAUUCCAUUUCUAAUAUGUUAUACAUUGUAAUUUUACAAAUCUGAUUUUAUUUUUCAGACCAGCUACUUGCAGAAGGCCCUGACAAACGUGGAUGUGAAGAAGCUGUACUGGGCAUGCUGGAUGUUGGGUGCAGCAGGUAAGUGGGCAUGCUGAUGUGGUCUUCCUGGGGAAAAAGCUCCACAUUUACUGCUGCCAUCAUUCUGCAUGAGGGAGAUGUGGCAAUCUGGUGCAGCUCUGAGUGCAUGCCUUUGGGCCAUCCAGCAAGGUGUAUUCCUGGCUCUUUUGCCAGCGAAACUUAAAUGUGCUACCAGGAAUGUGUAGUGAAAAAAAGAAGAAUAUGAUUAGUCCACUUCAGAAAUGGGAAGUAAGAGACAAAAUUUCUUUAUCUUUACCAGACGUGGAGGCUUUUAGUGAUGGUUACUGGAGGCAGUUUUUU